CCAGACGGUCGGAUGGCCGCGGGGGCGCAAGCCCUCGAGGAAAGUCCGGGCUCCACGGAAAUGAAGGUGCCGGGUAACGCCCGGCGGGGGCAACCCCAGGGACAGUGCAACAGAAAGCAAACCGCCAACCGGGCUUCGGCCCGCGGCAAGGGUGAAAGGGUGGGGUAAGAGCCCACCGCGGACGCGGCAACGCGGCCGGCACGGCAAACCCCACCUGGAGCAAGACCAAAUAGGGGCGGCACGCGGAGCCUUCGGGCGCCGCACUCGAUUUCCGGACAGCCGCCCGGGUCGGUCGCGUGAGGUGCCUGGCGACAGGCAUCCCAGAGGAAUGGUCAUCGCCGGUCCCGCAAGGGGCCGGAACAGAACCCGGCUUACAGACCGUCUGGCGUU
rnacentral:RNase_P_RNA from 1 species